rnacentral:rRNA from 1 species
CGUGUAGGCGGGAAAACAAGUCAGAUGUGAAAUACCGAGGCUUAACCUCGGGGCUGCAUCUGAAACUGUAUUUCUUGAGUGUCGGAGAGGAAAGUGGAAUUCCCAGUGUAGCGGUGAAAUGCGUAGAUAUUGGGAGGAACACCAGUGGCGAAGGCGACUUUCUGGACGAUAACUGACGCUGAGGCGCGAAAGCGUGGGGAGCAAACAGGAUUAGAUACCCUGGUAGUCCACGCUGUAAACGAUGGAUACUAGGUGUAGGAGGUAUCGACCCCUUCUGUGCCGGAGUUAACACAAUAAGUAUCCCACCUGGGGAGUACGGCCGCAAGGUUGAA